ACUUGAGUUGCUUUAUUAACUCAAUACUUGCUGGAAUAAAUUAUAAAUGUCUCCCAAGGACGACAGCAGCAUUAAGGACAAAACGCAUAAGCAGAAGCAGUUAGUUAUCAGCUAUUAUAUAGGUUACAAAAUAUGUUCGGUCUGCGAGUGUCAUGUUAGUUACACAUAGCAGAAGCAGUCGUAAUAUUGCCUAGCUUUUAGGUUUAACGUGGGUUCUGUUGUCUGUUCAUCUUUUAUUAUGAAGUAUUACAUAAUUGACAUUUAUAUUUUAAACAGGGACCACAGAAGGAACCCAGGCCCUCAUCAACUGGCGUAUUCCCAAUGAGGGCCUAUUUACAGGCAGGAGGAACUCCUCCAAAACCGAAUGGCAGACAAGAAGGUAAGAGAUCUUAAUGGCAACUGGCGGGCGAUAGGGCAUCAGGGAGGUGAUUGGGUCCAGGAGGCAUGGGAACGCACCAUUGCAGUGUAGAAAAAAAAUCCCUUAGGUGGAACAAUUCGCACGUCACCCAUCAAUGGCACCGACUGCUCCUUUGAGCGCCUCGAUCCCGGAAAGGCGGGCAAAACCAGCACCCACUCCCUCCAAAUCUUGUCUUUUUGGGAAGAAAUUUUUUUUUAAUGAUCCCCAUCAAGGAGUUCAUGACUCUAUGCACCACCUGGCACACAAGGGCAUCACAAAGAUGUCGGCUGUUUCCCUAUAGGAUGCACCGCCGCCAGCCAGAAGAGGGUCACCAGCACUCUCCUUAUCCUCACAUGUUUUGUU